UACGUAGGGUGCGAGCGUUAAUCGGAAUUACUGGGCGUAAAGCGUGCGCAGGCGGUUUUGUAAGCCAGAUGUGAAAUCCCCGGGCUUAACCUGGGAAUGGCAUUUGGGACUGCAAGGCUCGAGUGCGGCAGAGGAGACUGGAAUUCCUGGUGUAGCAGUGAAAUGCGUAGAUAUCAGGAGGAAUACCGAUGGCGAAGGGCAGGUCUCUGGGCUGACACUGACGCUCAUGCACGAAAGCGUGGGGAGCAAACAGG
rnacentral:rRNA from 1 species